rfam:Sordaria macrospora k-hell, WGS project CABT02000000 data, contig: 2.1583, organelle: mitochondrion
AUCCGAGUGAUGGAAUGGUAGACAUAACAUGCUUAAAACAUGUGGGCUUCAAGCUGUGAAGGUUCAAGUCCUUCUUCGGAUA